GCACCCAUAGCUCAGCUGGUUAGAGCAUACGGCUAAUAACCGUAAGGUCCGCGGUUCGAUCCCGCGUGGGUGCA
rfam:Cryptosporidium ubiquitum isolate 39726 contig_3, whole genome shotgun sequence.